rnacentral:tRNA from 2 species
GCGGGCGUAGCUCAGUUGGUAGAGCACAGGAUUGUGACUCCUGUGGUCGCCGGUUCGAUCCCGGUCGCUCGCCCCA